GUGGGGUCAUGAGGGGUGAUGAAGUGAACAGGCAUCCAGGAGCAGUGGGGACACUGUCCCUUUUAGAACAGAAAGCUGUCCCUGCUCUGGCUCGUGGGUCUGGCUUUUGAAGCUCAUUCAUCUGGCAGCUGGCAGAGUAGAUGGGAGGCUGUGUGUGAUGUCACAGAGCUGGGAACCAGGGAAUGUUGGGGACAGAGGAGCCUGGACUGGACCAUAAAUGUCAGAAGGAGGGCAGCUAGGCCAUGUUCUUCUCAGGAGGGUGCCAGAGGCAAGAGAGGGAGCCUCACCAGGAAAAUCAUGUCUGCUGGAGUCUCAUGUGUUAAGUUUCUAUUGGCCAAGCAAUGCAUGAUGGAGCCCAGAGGAAUGAAUAUACGCUUCACCCAAGAAGAUAUGGCAGAGAAGAUUUGGGGCCAAUACUUUGCUAUGCCACAGGUUGUGCCAUGUAGCUCCAUCUCCUCCAGGAAAGGGAUAUUGGUGUAUUACCAGUGGCUGCUGCCAUCUUCCUUCUGUUCUGGUCUCUGUGCUACCACGGAAGAAAUCUGCCUGAGACUUCUGAGAGCUGCACAGACGUUUCCAUGUGAUUGGAUUGAGCCCACCCAGACAAGUGGGGGAUUAUCUCUCUGUUAGCUUUUUGUUGUUGGGAUGAAAUAAAUACCUGAAAUAUACAACUUAAGGGAGGAAAGGUUUAUUUUGGCUCAGAGUUUCAGAGUUUUCAGUCCUUCGGUUGGCCACCUCUAAGGCAGAAAGAAACAUCAUGGCAGAAGGACACAGUGGAGGAAAGCUGCUCUAUCCAUGGUGCUCAGGAAGCGGAGAAACAGAAAGAGCCAGAGAGAGGAAGGGGCUGGGGACAAGAACAUACCUUCCAGGUUACACUCCCAGUGACCUACUUCCUCCAACCACCCUCUACCUCAUAGCAGUGC
rnacentral:lncRNA from 1 species